rnacentral:snRNA from 1 species
GUAUGUGAGGGCGAUCUGACUGCAUCAUCUGUCACCCCACUGAUUGCCAGAGUUGAUUCAGCUGAUCUGGCUGGCUAGGCAGGGUCCCCUCCUCCCUCACCCCUCCACUCAGUAAAGAGGACGACCUUCCCCAACAGAGGAGAGGACAGUUCUUCUAUCAAGGGUAUAUGAGGAGCUGCACUCCCCUGCUGUAACCUCCAAACUCUCUAGUAAAUAAUUUUACUAAAUGUGUUGCAAAUGCACAGAAGAGCCCACAAGAUAUGAGGUCCCUUCUGAAUAAAUAGGUUGUAAAAGUUCA